rnacentral:rRNA from 1 species
GAUGAACGCUGGCGGCGUGCCUAAUACAUGCAAGUCGAGCGAACAGACGAGGAGCUUGCUCCUCUGACGUUAGCGGCGGACGGGUGAGUAACACGUGGAUAACCUACCUAUAAGACUGGGAUAACUUCGGGAAACCGGAGCUAAUACCGGAUAAUAUAUUGAACCGCAUGGUUCAAUAGUGAAAGACGGUUUUGCUGUCACUUAUAGAUGGAUCCGCGCCGCAUUAGCUAGUUGGUAAGGUAACGGCUUACCAAGGCAACGAUGCGUAGCCGACCUGAGAGGGUGAUCGGCCACACUGGAACUGAGACACGGUCCAGACUCCUACGGGAGGCAGCAGUAGGGAAUCUUCCGCAAAGGGCGAAAGCCUGACGGAGCAACGCCGCGUGAGUGAUGAAGGUCUUCGGAUCGUAAAACUCUGUUAUUAGGGAAGAACAAAUGUGUAAGUAACUAUGCACGUCUUGACGGUACCUAAUCAGAAAGCCACGGCUAACCACGUG